GACGAACGCUGGCGGCGUGCCUAACACAUGCAAGUCGAACGGAGUUACUUCGACAGAACCCUUCGGGGGGAAGAUGAUUUAACUUAGUGGCGGACGGGCGAGUAACGCGUGAAUAACCUGCCCAUAAGAGGGGGAUAACACAGAGAAAUUUGUGCUAAUACCGCAUAUUGAGAUUUAAUCGCAUGAUUUUAUCUUGAAAGAUUUUAUUCGCUUAUGGAUGGAUUCGCGUAAGAUUAGCUAGUUGGUGAGGUAACGGCUCACCAAGGCGACGAUCUUUAGCCGAACUGAGAGGUUGAUCGGCCGCAUUGGGACUGAGACACGGCCCAG
rnacentral:rRNA from 1 species